UACGGGGGGGGCAAGCGUUGUUCGGAAUUACUGGGCGUAAAGGGCUCGUAGGCGGCCAACUAAGUCAGACGUGAAAUCCCCAGGCUCAACCUGGGAACUGCGUCCGAUACUGGUUGGCUUGAAUCCGGGAGAGGGACGUGGAAUUCCAGGUGUAGCGGUGAAAUGCGUAGAUAUCUGGAGGAACACCGGUGGCGAAGGCGACGUCCUGGACCGGCAUUGACGCUGAGGCGCGAAAGCCAGGGGAGCAAAACGGGG
rnacentral:rRNA from 1 species